CGAUUUUCCGGGACUUUGCAGCGCUGGAUGGUUACAGGGGAGCAGGUGCCAGAUUCCCUGGGCCAUCAACUUACGCUCCGAAGCAGUUGCGGACGGCUGCUCAAGAGAAACGAGCAGGAUAGAAGAAAUCAAAGGAACAGGAUUGCUGAAUCAUAGAAGAGAUGUGUGUUUUACUUUAGAAGAAGCUCUUCCAUAGUCUUCUGAAGCAGAUGAUGACACUGAGGCCCAGAGAAAUGAGUGACUGGUCAUGAUCCUACGGCUAGCUAAUACAUGGAGAAGCUAUGAGUUGAAAAUAGGUCUGCUUGACUCCAAUGCUUGCACUCUUAACCUUGCUCUAGUAAAUAAAUG